AGUGAACGCUGGCGGUAGGCCUAACACAUGCAAGUCGAACGGCAGCACAGAGGAGCUUGCUCCUUGGGUGGCGAGUGGCGGACGGGUGAGGAAUACAUCGGAAUCUACUCUGUCGUGGGGGAUAACGUAGGGAAACUUACGCUAGUACCGCAUACGACCUAAGGGUGAAAGCAGGGGACCUUCGGGCCUUGCGCGAUUGAAUGAGCCGAUGUCGGAUUAGCUAGUUGGCGGGGUAAAGGACCACCAAAGCGACGAUCCGUAGCUGGUCUGAGAGGAUGAUCAGCCACACUUGAACUGAGACACGGUCCAGACUCUUACGGGAGGCAGCAGUGGGGAAUAUUGGACAAUGGGCGCAAGCCUGAUCCAGCCAUACCGCGUGGGUGAAGAAGGCCUUCGGGUUGUAAAGCCCUUUUGUUGGGAAAGAAAUCCAGCUGGCUAAUACCCGGUUGGGAUGACGGUACCCAAAGAAUAAGCACCGGCUAACUUCGUGCCAGCAGCCGCCGUAA
rnacentral:rRNA from 1 species